GCCUGGUUCAGACUGGGCUUGGGAAGUGAGUCAGGGCCUGACUAUAUGUGAUAAAGAGAAGCUCCUUGCUUUUAAAGGACAGUAAGGGGGUCGUCUUACACUUAGCAGCCCGGACAGAAUUGAUUUUUUUACAGACCCCUCUGUGGGCGAGUGCCUUUUAUGAAAAAGGCAAAAAUAUUUAAUAAGAAUGAAACCCCCUGAAUGGUCCCGGGUCCUAUCAGAAGCGGGAAGUCCCCUUUUUAAAUGGUCGCAGGCAUCUCCUUUGAUCACACGAUAUCACUGAACAUGCAGUCCUCACACCCCCAACUUCAUUCUCAUCUCAUUUUUCUCCACGGUGCAUGCCAGCCUCUGACACGUGGUGGCCCUCUCUCGAGGGGGUGCUGGUGCCUGACUCCUUUGGACACCCUGUGAAGGCAGGGCCAGACAGGUCGCAAGGGAAAACCAUCGGUCAAGGUGAGUGUUGCAGGCGCCCUGGAGGAAGGCACCGUGUCACCUGCUGGCCCAAGGGCUUCCAGAAUUCCAUGAAUUACAACAGGGAAUGCAUCUGCCAAGCAUCCUAGACCCACGUUUCUGGCCGGCACAGCCUCGCCCUCUGUGGAAAUCAGCAUGAGAGGUGCCACACAGAGGCUGCCUGGAGAGUGGGCUGAACAGGGGGAAGGAGUAAUCCCCCAUGGCCGUCUCCACCCUCACAUCUCCAUCCCUGCCACGUGGGGCCUGGGGUCUGGGCUGCUCUCUGGAUAGCCAGGGCUGUGCUAGGCGCUGCUCAGGCUGGGCUCUCUGAUGGCCCCUAAGAUGUCAGCAAGACCUACCCAUGACACCGCCCAAGCCCAGGGCCUGAGGACGGGAGCCUUGUCCUUCCAGAGCACCGGCUCUGGGGCCUGUGCAGGUGGUGCCCAUCUCUGAGUCUCAGGGUUCUCAUCUGUGCAGUGGGGACAUCAGUGGUGUCUGCAGGACAGGCUGUAGGAGGGUGAAGUUGAAAGCAGGUCUGAGCUGCCAGAGGCCCUGGGUCUGGCCCGCCACACACCUGGGGAGUCAGGGACUGCCUGUCCCCCCAGCAGCUGCCCUCCAUGCCCAUGUGCUGGCCAGAGAACCCUGGUCAGGGGCUGAGACAGUGGUGUGCUGGUGGUCACUAAUACUGACCGUCAUUAAACGUUUAGGAAUGCUGACAGCCAUUGUUACAAAUUAAAUUCUACAAACUGAUGAUUAAAUAAAUUGUAUUAAAAACAAAGGUAGUGAAUAUUCCACUCCCUGUCCUUCCUGGUUGCCUUUCUGCAUCGUCUGUGCUCUUACAGCGACGUCUGCUGCUGGGUCUGUGGUGAAAAUGCUGUAUGAGGCUGUGCUACUGCUCUGCCUGCAGUGACGUCUGGGGACAGCUGCAAAUGGGCACAUGUGGAAGCCAGAGGACUGACUGUCAACCUGUCACCGGAGUGGGCCUGGAUUCCACGGCCAGGGGAGGGGCCGCCAGCCUGGGAUGCAUACAGUCCUCACAGCUCUGGGAGCUGGCUUUCAGGGACUCCUCCUGCAGGGUUCUGUGGGUGCUGCUCUAUGCUCUCUCUCCUUCUGCUGAGGCAUAGGGCUUCUCUACUCGCCCUGGGCCAGAGGAGCCAGGCAGCUGGGCAGCGGAAGGCUCGGGUGCCCUGGACAGGCGUCUGCCUAGCACUGGCUGGCCCGGCCCAGCCAGACGCCUGCUGGCUCAUCCGCACAGCCACCCUGUGGGUGAGGGCUUGGUCUGUUCGAGGGAUGGGGGACCGAGGUUCUGGGAGGGGCUUGCCAAGUCCUGGCAGUCAGCAAAUGGCAGGCAAGGACCUGAGCCCCUCCACUGGAUGUGAGGUCAGUGCUGCCCCAAGCACCUGGGGCUGCCUUCAGUGACAGGAGCAGCGUGGUGAUGUGGGGAGAGGUUCAGCUGGAGGCAGCCACACCACGCAGGACGCUAGGGCAUGGUCCAGGAGCCCUGCACUGGCUGACAUGCACUCCUGAAGUUCUGCCUUUAGAGACUGAUCCCUCGCAACACCCAUCUGCCCUCUCCUUGAGUCCUCCUCCCACGCGCGCGUCCCCAAGAAGAUAAGCAUCAGGGCACCAACGUGCUACUCAAGGUCCUGGGGGCAGCAGCAUCAAGGGAAAGGAGACCAGCAGGCAGAGCAUGGCUGUGGGUGACCUGAAACAGCCACCACUCUCUCCCCCUGGAACCCCGAGGGCCAAGGGAGCAGGAGGGCCUGGCCCUGAGCAGCCUCCCUUCUGCAGAGAAAGGCAGGCAUGGGUGGGCAACACUGGGGCCAGACAGAUGGGGGUGGGCUGGUCUUGGGGGCUCAACUUGGAGGGCAGGGCACUGCCUGACAACGUGGGCAUCAUGCAGAGGGCCGUGCGAGGGCAGCUCGUGGAAAGCGCCCAGAGUGGAGCGCUGGCCCUGGAGAGCAAGGGAUGCUCACGCACGCUGCAACCCGGAUGAACCUCAAGGACAUCGUGCUGAGUGAAAUAAGCCAGACACAAAAGGCAUGGCCUGCAUGAUUCCACUCACAUGAGGCACCUGGAGUAGUCAAAUGCACAGCCGGGAAGUAGAAUGGCAGUUGCCAGGGGUUGCAGGGAGGGGAGUUAGUGUUUAAUGGGCACAGGGUUUUAGUUUUGCAAGAUGAAGGGUUUUGUGGAUGGGUGGUGGUGAUGGUUGCUCAACAGUGCUAAUGUGCUUAAUGCCUCUGAACGGUGCACUUAAAAAUGGUUAAUGGCUGGGCGAGGUGGCUCACGCCUAUAAUCACGCUUUUACCAGGCCCAGGUGGGAGGCUGUCUUGAGGCCAGGAGUUUGAGACCAGCCUGGGCAACAUAGUGAGACCUCAUCUCUACAAAAAAAAAUUUAAGAAUUAGCUGGGCGUGGUGGCACACUGGUAGUCCCAGCUACUCAGGAGGCUGAGGUGGCAUGGGAGUGGGAGGGGUGGUGGGGUGCUGGGGGGUGGGGAGGUAGUGCAGUGCAGCAGAGCAGGGUGUGGGAGGGUAGGGGGAUGGAGGUGUGUGUGUGUGUGGAGGGGGGAGAAUCGCUUGAGCCCAGGAAUUCAAGCUUGCAGUGAGCUGUGAUCCAGCCACUUGAAUUCUUUUUAUUUUUUUUAUUAUUUUUAAAUUAUUUUUUAAGACAGAGUUUCGCUCUUGUUCCCCAGGCUGGAGUACAAUGGCACGAUCUCAGCUCACUGCAACCUCUGCCUCCUGGGUUCAAGCGAUUCUCCCGCCUCAGCCUCCCGAAUAGCUGGGAUUACAGGCAUGCGCCACCACGCCUGGCUAAUUUUGUAUUUUUUAGUAGAGACGCUGUUUCUCCAUGUUGGUCAGGCUGGUCUUGAACUCCCGACCUCAGGUGAUCCGCCUGCCUCAACCUCCCAAAGUGCUGGGAUUACAGGCGUGAACCACCGCGCCCAGCCCAGACUCUUGAAUUCUUAAAGCACAGCUUGCCUUAGGGGCUUCAUAAUGGCCCUAGGGCCCCUGGGGCAUCACCCACAGGGUGUGAGGACCCUCCCCUCACCUCCCUCUCUCCCUGCCUCACUUCCUUCUUUCCUCCCUCCCUUCCCUUCUCAACUGAGCCCCCUACUCAGUGCCAAGCCCUGGGCGCCCUGCCUGGAGGAGUGGGCAGAAUGAUGGGAAGGCAGGCGAGUGUGCUGCAACAGAGGCGAGCCAUGGGCUGUGAGGCAUUGCAGGCAGACAGCAGAGGCAGGAAGCAGGCCUUCCUUCUGGGAAGCAGGAGGAGCCCGGGGAGAGUUGCUAGCUGUGGCCUUCUCAGCCCAGGCCCUCUAGCAACUUGGGGUUUGAGGGUCAAACUUCUUUCUUUAGGUAGGUGAGGAUAGAUGUGGAGGCCUCAGAACCCUGAGUUCAAGUCUGAUCUCAGCUUCUUGCCUACUGCGGUAGGGCAGUCGCUUCUCAGUGACUCAACUUUCCCAGCCACAAGAUGGGUCCAGGAAGAGCCGCUUGGGGAGCAGCGGGGCCGGGAGGAUGGGGUGAAUGACUGCCUGGCUGUGGGUAUCUGCAGCUCCUGCUGGCAAUCCUUCUCACCCGCUCGGUCUCCAGCCAGGGGACAGGGACCUGGGGUCCACACCUCAGCCUGAGGUCCAAGGCCAUCCUCGGAGGAGGCCCCACAUUCGUCCCCCAGGUUGGUGCCCACGCCUGCCCUGGCAUGAAGCCACCCUUUCUCAGGAAGUCCAAGUUACUGAAACAGAUAAAUCAAUCUGUCAAGAAGCCUUGGAGAAAGAAUCUCUCAACUCGCUCAGCCAAGAAGCUCAAAAGGCGAAUUGUUCCCAGAGAUGAAGAAGGAAACAACAGACACCUUCUUCCCAGGCUCUGCCUGCGGCUCUCGAGGCCCUGCCCUCCUCCCCCUGCCCCCAGAGAGCACCUGUAGGCUCAGGGCCAGCCCAGGGACAGGCAUGGCAGCCCCUCGCUGGCUGCUGGGGUGGCGCCCAAUUCCAGAGCCCUGUCUGGGGAAGGAGAGGGCCGAGAGCCACUGUUUGGCUCCUGUCCCAGACCUGACUGGGAGACCUUCUGAAAAACUCAGCCUCCUGAUCAACAGAGGGCAGAAGACCUGAGCCACUGGCCUCCCCAUGGAAGAGGCACUCAGAGCGGUAUGAGGAGUAGUGCUCACCCUGGACAAACUCCCGGAGUCAGUGUGACCGUCGGAGCUGGAGGCUGGGGUGAUGGGGGCCAGGGAAACCAAGCAAUGGCCCCGAGGUAGUGAGGAGUCUCUGGAGGCCAGAUACCCUCAAGAUGGAAAAGGAACAUCCUUGGAGGAUUGGGGUGGCUUCUUCCUGGAGGGAGGAGGGACACAUGCCGGGAUGACAGCCAGCUCUGCCGCUGACCAGCUGUGUGACCUUGUGAAAGUCACUUGAUCUCUCGGCGCAUCAAUUUCCUCAUUGUUGCCUGGGCCUCUUGUGAGAUCUUCCUCAUGGCUUGCAGUGAGGAUUGAAUGAGUCGAUCUGUGCCCCGUGGCCCGGGACAUGGUGAGCAUGUGGUAAUGGCAGCCGUUUUAUCCUGUAGUGUAAUAACGGUGUGCAGCUAGACGUCACUCUGGGCACCUUUUCUCACAGAACUGUCACUGCCGUGCUGCAGGAUGCGGAUGGUUGUCUUCACUCUCCAGAUGAGGAAACUGAGGCUCAAGGAAGGGCGGAGCUGCCUGAGGCUUGACAACUCUGCAGUCUGCAGCUGUGAGAGGGGGCUCUUUCUAGCCACACAGCUUUCCCUGGUUCUCGUGCGCUCUGUGAGCAGGAGGACGGGAAGGGCCGCAGCCGCUGAGGGAGCAGGAGGGGUUCGAUGCAAGCCCAGCUCCCAGCACGGGAAAGCCAGGUCAAGAAACACACGGCCUCUGCUGUGGGGCUGAUCACAGCUUUGUCAAAGAGGAGAUGUGGGAGGGGGGAGGUGAAGGGAGCAGGAAGAAAUGAAUGUCAGAAACAUAAAUAGCCCUGGAACUGAUGGACAGUCUGAGAUCUCUGCGCAGACCUGGGCGCCUGCAGGCUGCCACUCAAACCUGAGCAGAAGGGUGAACCCGCCCUCACCCCACUCCCGGUUCCCUACACGCCCCAGGAAAGGGCUGUUGUGAGCGGAAGGCAUUCGUCGAAAACUGGGAAGGUUGCCCAAGAAAGGCAGAGCGGGAAGCCCUCCGUGGGCAGCAGAACCGGAAACAAAAGAUAAGCAGACAAUCCUAGAAGCUUUUGGAGACUGAAAAAGUCACACCAUGAGGAUCGAGAAUCAGAAUGGCAUCGGACUGCUUAACAUCAACCUAGAACACCACAUGCCAAUAGAGAACUGCCUUCAGAACUCUGAGGGGAGAUGAUUUCCAACUGAGAUUUAUACCUCCAGCCAAACUGUCAAUCAAUUAUCCAAAAACUGAACUCCCAUAUGCAGCCUCCAAGGAAGCUACUGGCGUGUAUAUUACAACAAAAUGAAGGGAGUAAAGCAAGAAAGAAGAUGACUUAGUAUCUAAGAAACAAGGCACCGACACAGGACAGAGGGAAAGGGAAUUCCCAGUGUAACGUUGAAGAGAAAUUUCACAACUUCUACUACAAUGGCCAGGAGAGCAACUGAUCCAGGUAGAAGCAGGAGGGCUCAAAGAAAAAAAACAGAACUGAUAGGUUGCCAGAUGUGUUUGACUAUAUUACGAGAAAUUUUAGAGUUUUAUUGUCACGGUUUGUGGGAAGAAUUAGUAAUCUUACAUCAAAAACUAAUUAAAUUUAAAAACUGAGGUACUUACUAACUCCAGGGAAAACAAAAAGCUGUACAAGACUGCAACUGUAACCAUAAUAUAGUCCCUUGUUUAGCUGUGAAUAAUCUAUAUGUAGAUAUGAUACGGUAACAACUGAGUGUUGAUUUAGCAACUGUGAUAGGACUAUCUUGGAAGAAAAAGUGUGUGUUUGUGGAUGGUGGCUGGUGGAGAACCAGCAAUCUUCCACAGGAGGAAGCCAAUACAUAAUAUUUGAAAAAUACAUCUAGAGAACGAUAUUUAGAAAUAUGAAAGGAAAUGUCAGAAG
rnacentral:lncRNA from 10 species